rnacentral:lncRNA from 1 species
AAAUCAAAGCAGCAAAGGCGCUGUAGGCAGUUAAGUACAAAAAAAGGAGAGGCAAACUUGGCAGAAGUUAAGACGAAUAUUGUUGAAAAAUUGGUGAAAAUAUUAUCUCGGCUAUUUCUCAAGUAUUGAAUAAUGUUUGUACCCUAAAGUUUUCACUAUCCAAUCCUGCCACUUAGAGUUAAAAUUGUGCCUGUCCAUAUUGAGGACCCAGUAAUUUGGUAAUUGUUGCUGUAUAUCAUAUCCAUUUUUCAUAAUUGUUUUGUACAUAAAUCAGGCUGCUGUAGUUUUAUUGUUUUACAUUUGUAAUUUUCUGGUCUUUUAAAGCUUACUAUGCAGUAUACAUGUAGGUUUUGCUAAUAGUUACAAGCUGCAUGGAGGAUUAUUCUUAUCAGAUUAAUAAUUUCAAUAAUGGGGUCCAGCAGUGGUGUAUGGUUUAAUUCAACUAUAUUCUAAAGUAUGAAUAUGCCAUAUUAGCAGUUUUAGUUGCAUCAGUUGGUGCACCUACAUUGUAUGCACAAGCAUCAAAUCAUAGCUGAAACUAUCUUAAGUGGUGUAAUUUUCUUGAAAGUUAUAUUGCAAUAAAUGCUGAUGUUGUUAUAAUGGCCUAGCAAUGAUACAACAUUUUUUGAAGCCUAACUAUAAUUGCUUACUUUCUUCAUUUAUUUUGGUGGAUAUACAUAUAGUUGUCUCAUUAUGAUGCAUUGGCUAUCAUUCCACAUAUUCUUAUCUUUAUAAUAAUUGUACAUGUCUUAUCUAUAAUCAGCUUUUAAUACAGAGACAUGUUUUGCCUAUUUGUUAUUUUGAUAAUACAAAUAAUACAAUUAAAAUAGAAAUGCAUUAACAUGUAAAAUAUAUUCAAAGAUAAUGAUCCAUGACUGAUUGUACAGGGCUGAACAAUCCCUAUGGAAAUAAGAUGUGCCAACACUUAUACAACUGCUUACCAAAUAACAUUGACUUUUCAUAAGUUGUCCCCUUUAAACAAACCCUAACACAUAGAUUGCUGGCUUCUUAAACUAACAUAAUUAUAGUCAAAGUCAAUAGAUCAUGCAUAUGACCGAGGGGUAAGGACCAAAUAUCCUCUAUGGAACUGAAACAUACUAAUGCUUCUUCACCUACAUGGCAAUCAUCAUUAACUUACGACGAUUGGUUUCCUUCAUAGUAAAAUAAUCAAAAGCUUUAUGAAAUUU